rnacentral:rRNA from 1 species
UACAGAGGUGGCAAGCGUUGUUCGGAAUUACUGGGCGUAAAGGGCGCGUAGGCGGCCUUCUAAGUCAGACGUGAAAUCCCCCGGCUUAACCUGGGAACUGCGUCUGAUACUGGGAGGCUUGAGUAUGGGAGAGGGAUGUAGAAUUCCAGGUGUAGCGGUGAAAUGCGUAGAUAUCGAGAGGAACACCUGCGGCGAAGGCGGGUUGCUGGGCUGACACUGACGCUGAAGCGCGAAAGCUAGGGGAGCGAACGGG